AGUGAACGCUGGCGGUAGGCCUAACACAUGCCAGUCGAACGGCAGCACAGUAAGAGCUUGCUCUUACGGGUGGCGAGUGGCGGACGGGUGAGGAAUACAUCGGAAUCUACUUUUUCGUGGGGGAUAACGUAGGGAAACUUACGCUAAUACCGCAUACGACCUACGGGUGAAAGCAGGGGAUCUUCGGACCUUGCGCGAUUGAAGGAGCCGAUGUCGGAUUAGCUAGUUGGCGGGGUAAAGGCCCACCAAGGCGACGAUCCGUAGCUGGUCUGAGAGGAUGAUCAGCCACACUGGAACUGAGACACGGUCCAGACUCCUACGGGAGGCAGCAGUGGGGAAUAUUGGACAAUGGGCGCAAGCCUGAUCCAGCCAUACCGCGUGGGUGAAGAAGGCCUUCGGGUUGUAAAGCCCUUUUGUUGGGAAAGAAAAGCAGCAGGUUAAUACCCCGCUGUUCUGACGGUACCCAAAGAAUAAGCACCGGCUAACUUCGUG
rnacentral:rRNA from 1 species